rnacentral:rRNA from 1 species
AUUGAACGCUGGCGGCAGGCUUAACACAUGCAAGUCGAGCGAGCGGCGGACGGGUGAGUACUGUCUGGGAAACUGCCUGAUGGAGGGGGAUAACUACUGGAAACGGUAGCUAAUACCGCAUACCAUCAGAUGUGCCCAGAUGGGAUUAGCUAGUAGGUGGGGUAAUGGCUCACCUGGGCGACGAUCCCUACCUGGUCUGAGAGGAUUACCAGCCACGCUGGAACUGAGGCACGGUCCAGAAUCCUACGAGGGGCGGCAGUGGGGAGUAUUGCGCAAUAGGAGCAAGCCUAAUGCAGCCAUGCCGCGUGUGUGAAGAAGGCCUUCGGGUUGUAAAGCACUUUCAGCGAGGAGGCGUUACUCGCAGAAGAAGCACCGGCUAACUCCGUGCCAGCAGCCGCGGUAAUUC